rnacentral:lncRNA from 1 species
CCAGGCAUUAUAAUGUUAAUUAUUAAUUAAAUAAGAAUAUGGAGCUGACAAGAUAUUAACGUCGACCAAAAAUAUACAUUGGCAGAAAAUUAUAAAUAAAAGAGGGGUAUUUUCAUAUAUAACUCUAAAAUCAGGUUUCCAUUUGAUCUGGGCGAUUGUAACCAUGUUUAACGGCAGAGAAUUAAUGUUAGUGUUUGGAGGCAGGUGCCGUUUGUGGUCCAAGGUUGUAACUAGAUUUGAUGGCACAAAGUAUUGCCAUAGCAGCUGCAUAGCAAUGAGAGUAACAAUCAGUAAUAUUAGCAGCAAAAGGAGAUAGCCAUGACAAUUCUGGACAUUCUGCCAAGGCAUACCUCCGGCACCAGUCACACUGACAAGUCAGUGGAAACAAAAUAUAAUGUAUAGUGGUCUAUACAUCCUAUUUUAUGUGAGAUUAAAAAUUAUAUAAAAUAAAAUGACCUACUACCAGAUAAAAUCCUCUAGAAUAAACAUGGGUGGGUGUGGGUAGGGGAAAGGUAUCUAAGCGCUAAACUUGCUGCAGCUAGGCAAAGCAUACAAUGGCAGUAUGAAUACCCAGACCGAAGCACUGAUCACAAGGCGCGAAACAACCCCCUUUAAUCGAUAUGACGUCACAGACUCCCAUCAGUGGAUGUGGCCUGCAUAGUACAUUCGCCGUUAACCUUGCUUAAAUGUAUUUAACCACAUCAAGAUAGCUGAUGUAAUAAUACAUUGUCAAUUUAUCUCUGCAAUCAGUAAAGACUGAUUUGCAUACAGCACACAGAAGACAAGAUAAAUCCAGACUAUUUCACACCAGUGACCAUGAUUU